rnacentral:rRNA from 1 species
CCUACGGGUGGCAGCAGUGGGGAAUAUUGGACAAUGGGGGAAACCCUGAUCCAGCGAUGCCGCGUGAGUGACGAAGUAUUUCGGUACGUAAAGUUCUAUCAGCAGGAAAGAAAAUGACUGUACCGGACUAAGAAGCCCCGGCUAACUACGUGCCAGCAGCCGCGGUAAUACGUAGGGGGCAAGCGUUAUCCGGAUUUACUGGGUGUAAAGGGAGCGUAGACGGCAGCGCAGGUCUGGAGUGAAAUGCCGGGACCCAACGCCGGAACUGCUCUGGAAACUGCGAAGCUGGAGUGCAGGAGAGGUAAGCGGAAUGCUUGGUGUAGCGGUGAAAUGCGUAGAUAUCAGAAGGAACACCGGCGGCGAAGGCGGCUUACUGAACUGUAACUGACGUUGAGGCUCGAAGGCGUGGGGAGCAAACAGGAUUAGAUACCCCUGUAGUC